GGUUCACUCAAGUCAGCUAACUCGUGAGAUUGCCCAGUUUUUGAGUCGUCAAACACAUUAUCUUCCUGGAAAGUACAGUUGAGGUCACCAAUACCCAUACAAGGUUCCCUAUCUCCAUUCAACACAUCUACAGACAGUUUCAAUCCAACAGAUACCGUAUUUUCAUUAUGCAAAGAUCCAUCAGCUGGAAGUUCGAGAGGUUGUUUAAGUAUGCUGGAGUCCGGAAGUGCUUCGUCCUCCAGCUGAGCAGGUUCGUUCAAGUCAGCUAGGCAUUUAGAUUUCACUGGAAAUGCCUGAAACGUGUCAUCCUCCUGGUAUUCCAAAUUGAGAUCCAUAAUGCCAAAUGACGAUUCAGUAUCACUCUUCAGAAUACAUCGAGAACUUUCCUCUGGAAGGCCUUCGACUUUUACU
rnacentral:lncRNA from 1 species